rnacentral:rRNA from 1 species
CGCUCUUUGGAAUUAAUACAUAAAGAGUCGAGCCUGCCCAGUGAUAUAUAUUUAACGGCCGCGGUACUCUGACCGUGCAAAGGUAGCAUAAUCAUUUGCCUUAUAAUUGAAGGCUAGUAUGAAUGGUUUGACGAAAACAAUACUGUCUCUCUCUAAUUUUGUAGAACUUGAUUUUUAGGUGAAGAAGCCUAAAUAAAAUUGAAAGACAAGAAGACCCUAUCGAGCUUAAAAAAAUUUUGUUAAAAUAAAAUGACUAUAAAAGAACAUCUGUACCAAAAAAUUUUAGUUGGGGCGACUAAGGAACAUACAAAGCUUCCAUUACAGUAAUAAAGGCUUUUUAGCUAUGAUCCAAAAUCUUUGAUUAAAAGAAUUAGUUACCGUAGGGAUAACAGCAUAAUCUUUUUUGAGAGUUCUUAUCGAAAAAAAGGUUUGUGACCUCGAUGUUGGACUAGAAUAUCCUAAAUGAUGCAGAAGUCUUUAA